CCUACGGGGGGCAGCAGUGAGGAAUAUUGGUCAAUGGGCGCAAGCCUGAACCAGCCAAGUCGCGUGAGGGAUGACGGACCUACGGAUUGUAAACUUCUUUUGUAAGGGAGUAAAGGGCGGCACGUGUGCCGUUUUGCGUGUACUUUAUGAAAAAGGAUCGGCUAACUCCGUGCCAGCAGCCGCGGUAAUACGGAGGAUGCGAGCGUUAUCCGGAUUUAUUGGGUUUAAAGGGUGCGUAGAUGGGUUGUUAAGUCAGGUGUGAAAGUUUGGGGCUUAACCGUGGAACUGCCGUUGAUACUGGUCGUCUUGAGUGAAGGAGAGGUAUGCGGAAUGCGUGGUGUAGCGGUGAAAUGCUUAGAUAUCACGAAGAACUCCGAUUGCGAAGGCAGCUUACUAGACUGCAACUGACAUUGAGGCUCGAAAGCGUGGGUAUCAAACAGGAUUAGAUACCCCAGUAGUC
rnacentral:rRNA from 1 species